rnacentral:rRNA from 1 species
GUGAGGAAUAUUGGUCAAUGGGCGCAAGCCUGAACCAGCCAUGCCGCGUGCAGGAAGACGGUCCUAUGGAUUGUAAACUGCUUUUAUUUGGGAAUAAACUCCGGUACGUGUACCGGCCUGAAGGUACCAAAUGAAUAAGCACCGGCUAACUCCGUGCCAGCAGCCGCGGUAAUACGGAGGGUGCAAGCGUUAUCCGGAAUCAUUGGGUUUAAAGGGUCCGCAGGCGGUCUUAUAAGUCAGUGGUGAAAGCCUACAGCUCAACUGUAGAACUGCCAUUGAUACUGUAGGACUUGAAUUCGAUCGAAGUGGGCGGAAUGUGACAUGUAGCGGUGAAAUGCUUAGAUAUGUCACAGAACACCGAUAGCGAAGGCAGCUCACUAGGUCUGGAUUGACGCUCAGGGACGAAAGCGUGGGGAGCAAACAGGAUUAGAUACCCCAGUAGUCC